rnacentral:sRNA from 1 species
GAGACAAUGAAGGCCUCCUAGGAGGUAGGUGGGUGGGUGAGGGGAUGGGCUGGAAGGCCAGAAGACUCCAUCUUGGUCUUGCCCGCAGAUCCUGCUGGGAGAGCUGGCGCGUGCCUUUUUCCCUGCACCACCUUCAGCCAUCCCAGUCAUCAGGGAGAGCACCAUCGUGUCCGGGGCCUGCUGCCGCUUCAGCCCCCCAGUGCGGAGGCUGGUCCGCUUCCUGGGGGUCUACUCCUUCGGCCUCUUCACCACGACCAUCUUCGCCAACGCGGGGCAGGUGGUGACCGGCAAUCCCACGCCACACUUCCUGUCCGUGUGCCGCCCCAACUACACGGCCCUGGGCUGCCUGCCACCUUCUCCGGAUCGGCCGGGUCCCGACCGCUUUGUCACUGACCAGGGUGCCUGCGCCGGCAGCCCCAGCCUCGUGGCCGCCGCGCGCCGCGCCUUCCCCUGCAAGGACGCGGCCCUCUGCGCCUACGCGGUCACCUACACAGCGAUGUACGUGACUCUCGUGUUCCGCGUGAAGGGCUCCCGCCUGGUCAAACCCUCGCUCUGCCUGGCACUGCUGUGCCCGGCCUUCCUGGUGGGCGUGGUCCGCGUGGCCGAGUACCGAAACCACUGGUCGGACGUGCUGGCUGGCUUCCUGACAGGGGCAGCCAUCGCCACCUUUUUGGUCACCUGCGUUGUGCAUAACUUUCAGAGCCGGCCACCCUCUGGCCGAAGGCUCUC